rnacentral:lncRNA from 1 species
CUCCUUCUUCGCGACCGGAGAAGAUCGGCCUUCAGUCAAUCAGAGAAAACCCUAGGUACAAAACCCUAGGUGCAACCGUUGCAAACCUUACUGGAAAUAUAGUCAGGGAUGUCGGUAAGUCACCCUAAACAUCCACUGAGUGAAGAUCGAGCCACUGGAUAGCAGUAAAACGCUAGGUUAAACCACCAGAAACCCUAGAAGCCGAUAGGUCACGAAAAAUCACCCAAAAAUCAUCGGAAAACCUCCCACAACGUUCGAGUGGAGAAGAUAUACUCAGAUAUCACGAAGAAAAUCUCAGAAAAGCAUCCGAUUUAGAUCGGAAUCGUCAUCAACCAUAAGGUCUCAGAAACACCCCCAAAAAAUCUCAAAAGAGACUUCAACCAGAACAACGAGAUGCAGAAAAACAUAUACGGAUCGUCGUCUAGGCUCUGAUACCAUGUAAACAUUGAGAUUAGACCAAAAAAUCAUGGAAAAUGUAGAGAGAGAAUCUAGAGAGAAGGAGGAGCAUUUGAGAACUCUCUAGAAUAGAGAGAGAAUUUAUUAAUCAGAAAAUGAAAA